rnacentral:misc_RNA from 1 species
AUCAAAUGCAUUCAUUUCGUAAGACGUAGAUAGCCUCUUGUUGUGGAAUUCAUUUCUUGUAUCAUCAAGUCUUUCGAUUGAUUUUCGUGGUCGGUUUUCAGGUUGAAAUUUGUUCUUUUUGUUUACAGAACGUCGAGCACGUUGGGAUUGAGCAGCCGUUUGAGCUCUUAUAAGAGAUUCCAUACUGUGAAGAGUUGCAGCAGCCCACUUUCGAACCAGGUAACCUCUAACAAGUGCCUGUAUCUUA